rnacentral:rRNA from 1 species
GACGAACGCUGGCGGCGUGCUUAACACCUGCAAGUCGAACGGAAAGGCCCUGCUUGCAGGGUACUCGAGUGGCGAACGGGUGAGUAACACGUGGGUGAUCUGCCCUGCACUUCGGGAUAGGCCUGGGAAACUGGGUCUAAUACCGGAUAGGAGCCAUUUUUAGUGUGAUGGUUGGAAAGUUUUUUCGGUGUAGGAUGAGCUCGCGGCCUAUCAGCUUGUUGGUGGGGUAAUGGCCUACCAAGGCGGCGACGGGUAGCCGGCCUGAGAGGGUGGACGGCCACAUUGGGACUGAGAUACGGCCCAGACUCCUACGGGAGGCAGCAGUGGGGAAUAUUGCACAAUGGGCGCAAGCCUGAUGCAGCGACGCCGCGUGGGGGAUGACGGCCUUCGGGUUGUAAACUCCUUUCGCUAGGGACGAAGCUUUUUGUGACGGUACCUAGAUAAGAAGCACCGGCUAACUACGUG